rnacentral:tRNA from 1 species
GGGCCCGUAGCUCAGUUGGUAGAGCGCUUCCAUGGCAUGGAAGAGGUCCGGGGUUCGAUUCCCCGCGGGUCCA